rnacentral:rRNA from 1 species
UACGAAGGGGGCUAGCGUUGCUCGGAUUGACUGGGCGUAAAGGGCGCGUAGGCGGGUCGUACAGUCAGACGGGAAAUUCCUGGGCUCAACCUGGGGGCUGCGUUUGAUACGUGCGGACUUGAGUGCGGAAGAGGGUCGUGGAAUUCCCAGUGUAGAGGUGAAAUUCGUAGAUAUUGGGAAGAACACCGGUGGCGAAGGCGGCGACCUGGUCCGAUACUGACGCUGAGGCGCGAAAGCGUGGGGAGCAAACAGG